rnacentral:rRNA from 1 species
AUGCUGCUGCGCCUUCCGUACGCCCGCCCCGCGCCGUCCACAGCACGAUGGAGGCUGGAGCGGGCGCGUGCCCGGCCGGCACAGCUGCUCCGCCGAGGGCACGCCGCCGCUUCCUUGGCCGACGGCGCCGGAGCGCCGCUCCACUACGACCCGUUGGCCGACCUUCUGGGCCCAGAUGUCGACCCCAGCCCCUCGCAGAAUACUGCCCCGGUUGCAGAGAGGGGGAAGCUGAGGUCCUGGGUUGGUCCAAAUGGGCAAUACUAUCGAGAGCUGCCUUGCCCUAACUGUAGGGGUAGAGGAUACACUCCUUGCAAAAAGUGCGGGAUAGACAGAUCCAGCUUGGACUGCCCUAUGUGCAAUGGCAAGGGGAUUAGGAUGUGUAUGCAAUGUGGUGGAGAAUGUGUGAUAUGGCAAGAAUCUAUUGAUGAACAACCAUGGGAGGAAGUUCGAUCUAGUUCACCCUUGAAAGUAAAGGAAGAUGAUGAGGUCGACAGACUAGAGAUAAAGAUCGACACCUCAAAAAGACCGAGGCGUACUUAUCCAUCACCAUCCCCAGAAGUUGCCAUGAAGAUUAGCCGAUCUCUAAGAAGUCUGAAUGCUAAAACAGGAUUGUUUACUAAGCACAUGAAGAUUAUACACCAAGACGCCAAAUUGCAUGCUCAAAGAGUUGCUGCGAUUAAGAGAACAAAAGGUACUGCUGCAGCAAGAAAUCAGGCUUCUGAAAAACAAAAGGCAUUCUUCAGGGAUCCUGAGAAUCGGCUCAAGAGAAGCAUUGCCAUGAAAGGAGUGAAAUUUUACUGCAGUAAAUGCGGGCAAGAAGGACACCGAAGCUUCUAUUGCCCAACAGUGAGGGAAAUUUCAGCCAGAGUGCAAUUCAGAUGCCGGUUAUGUGGGGAAAAGGGGCAUAAUAGCCGAACGUGUGGAAACCCAAAGUCAGAGAAUGAACAUCAGCGGCAACCUCGGCAUUGUAGCCUAUGCGGUGAAAAGGGUCACAACCGAAGAAACUGCCCUGGGUCUCCAGAGGCGGAGGUUGGCGCUUCUGGCCAUAUUACUAAGAAAGUUAACCGUCAUAAUUCAGGUGUUUAUUCAUGUAGCUUCUGCAAAGAAAGGGGGCAUAAUAGACGGACAUGUCCGAAGAGAAAUGCUAGCUUAGGAUAA